CUAUACUUUCUUUCUCAGCCACAUAGCUUUCACGGUCAUCCCCCCGAAUCCCAAGAAAAGAAAAGAAAUUCAAAAGAAGGCGGAGGCGGAGCUAGCGGCUCUGGAGGACCUGCGGCUGAGCAGAGCGAUGGCCUAUGUGUCUAUCAAUCCAAGCAGUGUCGGCGGGUGUUUAACUCUGGAGGAGGUGCGACUAAAACAGCAGCAAGAGAUGCAGGUCAGAAGAAGACAGAAACAGAUGAGAAAGUACCUGUUGGAGCCCACACCAGUGCUGCUAUAACGACAGAUACAUCUCAGGCAUGCUAAAACUAGUCACUGUCAAACUCCACUCGAUACAAAAUGGAUCUUGUUUAGAUGGAUGAUUAAAACAAGCUUAUUCUGUGGUAGCAUAGCCUUAUUGUUUUAAAUGAACACAUGUUAUUUCGCCCUCUUUCAAUGUGACAUUGAGAUUACAAUGUAAAAGGAUAUUUAAAUGCUGUAUUUAUUUACGUGACUGAUUUCUGAAACUCAAAUGUUUUAUGUGAUAUUGUAUUUUUGCUAUUAUUAGUCAAAUGAUAGACAGAAGCAAACACGUUUAUUCUAUGUAUUUAUUGACACUGGUAAUUCUGCAUAUUUACGGAGGCAAAUGGCAUCAACUAAGUGUAAAAUUAAGACAUUAUAACAAAUAUGAACAUCAGACUGUUUUGGACUAUAUGUAAACAUUCCCUGUCCUGCAAUAAGUGAAUUCAAUCUGCAUUCUUUCUUUGCUGGGUAUUCAGUAAAGUGACAAGUUGCAUUUUAUUUGGAUAGUUUUUUCAUCAUAAUUUUAAAAUAACAUAUACCUUUUGGCAAGAAAUUGGCAUUUUUAGGACAAGGCUAAAUCAGAGGUCCUGGAACUUUCAUACUUUUUUUUCAUACUUUCAUUUGAAGUACAUUCAUAUGCGGAAUGUGGUACUGGUGUAUUGCCAAACUAAAUAGAAAAUUACAGACAA